AACGAACGCUGGCGGCAGGCCUAACACAUGCAAGUCGAGCGCCCCGCAAGGGGAGCGGCGGACGGGUGAGUGACGCGUGGGAACGUACCCUUUGCUACGGAAUAGCCUCGGGAAACUGGGAGUAAUACCGUAUGUGCCCUUCGGGGGAAAGAUUUAUCGGCAAAGGAUCGGCCCGCGUUGGAUUAGGUAGUUGGUGGGGUAAUGGCCUACCAAGCCGACGAUCCAUAGCUGGUUUGAGAGGAUGAUCAGCCACACUGGGACUGAGACACGGCCCAGACUCCUACGGGAGGCAGCAGUGGGGAAUCUUAGACAAUGGGCGCAAGCCUGAUCUAGCCAUGCCGCGUGAGCGAUGAAGGCCUUAGGGUUGUAAAGCUCUUUCAGUGGGGAAGAUAAUGACUGUACCCACAGAAGAAGCCCCGGCUAACUCCGUG
rnacentral:rRNA from 1 species